CUUUGGAGAAGUUGUAUGAGCAGGGAGCAGACAGCAGCAAAGAAUCCUUUUCAGUCGAGGACAGCAUGAUGGGACUUCAGGAAGAAAGUGGCCCUUGAACCUCUUAAAGGAUGAGCAGGACUCAGAUGCCAGGACCAUCUGGAGCCCAGAAAGACAAGCAACAGCAGAAGGAAGAGGAGAUGGCUCAUUUCAGCUGCUUGGACACACCCCCCUUGGAAGGGAGCCUCCCCAGAGGAUGCGGCUGCUACUGUUGCCCUCAGGGUCUCUUCUCCAGGUUGUUCUACACUCAGGCUUCACUCCGGGCACAUUAGACUGGAUCAGAGGCUCUGCUACGACUAGCGUGUGUGUUAAUCGCUCAGUCAUGUCCGACUCUUUGUGACCCCGUGAACUGUAGCCCACCAGGCUCAUCUGUUCAUGGAAUUCUCCAGGCCAAGAAUACUAGAGUGGGCUACCAUUCCCUUCUCCAGGGGAUCUUCCUGACCCAGAGAUCGAACCCAGGUCUCCCACAGUGCAGGCAGGUUCUUUACCACCUGGGAAGCCCCUGCUACAACUUACUGAACGGUGAAGUGGCAAGAGGUUAAAACCGAAGCAGCACGAUGAUGCUUGAAGAGACUCCAGGCCUGGGGCUUCCACGGUAGCUCAGUGGUAAAGAAUCCGCCUGUCAGUGCAGGCGACAUGGGUUCAAUCACUGAUCCAGGAAGACCCCACGUGCUGCAGAGCAGCUGGGCCCACUUGCUGCAGCUACUGAGCCUGCACGUUGCAACUACUGAAGCCCACACACCUUAGAGCCUGUGCUCCGGAACAAGAGGAGCCGCUGGCAAUGAGAAUCCCGGGCACCGCAGCUAGAGAGUAGCCCCCCGCUCGCCACAACUAGAGCAAAACCGAGCAGCAACUAAGACCCAGCACAGCCCUAAAUAAAUAAAUAAGUAAAAAUUAAGACUCCAGGGCUUCGGGCUGCUCAAACCCCAGUGCCCCGUGCUCAACAUUUUUUCUUUCUUUAGUCGCUAAGUCGUGUCUCGACUGUUUGCGACCCCAUGGGCUGUCGUCUGCCAGGCUCCUCUGUUCAUGGGAUCCUCCAGGCAAGAAUACUGGAGUGGGUUGCCAUUUCCUUCUCCGGGGGAUCUUCCCAACCCAGGGAUUGAACCCUACAUCUCCUGCAUUGCAGGCGGAGGGGUGGUCAACUUGGUAGAGCGUACACUCCCAAGUGGGAAAACCUGGGAUGCCAUACUGCCUUCACAUUAAUCCUAAG
ensembl:lncRNA